rnacentral:lncRNA from 1 species
CACACACACAAACACACACACACUCACUAUCACUCUCUAUCUCUGGUUCACAGUUUGAGUUACAGUGAUGAGGGCUGGCAGGCCUACAGAGGGCAUGAAAAGAACCCUCCUUCAGCAGCCGAGUGGAGGACUCGCUUAAUGCCCGAGGAGCGUCAACACAGUCUUGGAAAACUUGCUCAGCUGGAGCACCACAGUCCAGUUCCAGUGUGCGUCUGCUAGCUGGGGGCAUCCGCACUUUCAAAGGGCAGGAGCUUUAUAAUGGAAAGGAAGGAGGCAGCAGGUGUUGUGAGGUGGCAGUAGGAGGCACUCGGGGGGCUGGAUCGUCUUGCUCUGAGAAUUUCCUGGCGUUGCUGUCGAUGUGGAGAGGAAAGACGGCUGGCUUAUUUCUGAGCACAGGUGACAGCCUGGCUUGGGAAGCGGCGAGGUGGUGUCGUUUACCUCUCUGCGAGACUGCUAGAUCCUACAGCAUUAC